rnacentral:rRNA from 1 species
CUUAUGAUGGCGACCGGCGCACGGGUGCGUAACGCGUAUGCAACCUACCUUUUACAGGGGCAUAACACUGAGAAAUUGGUACUAAUUCCCCAUAAUAUCUGAGACGGCAUCGUUUUGGGUUGAAAACUCCGGUGGUAAAAGAUGGGCAUGCGUUGUAUUAGCUAGUUGGUGAGGUAACGGCUCACCAAGGCGACGAUACAGUAGGGGGACUGAGAGGUUAACCCCCCACAUUGGUACUGAGACACGGACCAAACUCCUACGGAAGGCAGCAG